rnacentral:tRNA from 5 species
CGCGGGGUGGAGCAGUCUGGUAGCUCGUCGGGCUCAUAACCCGGAGGUCGUAGGUUCAAAUCCUGCCCCCGCAACCA